CUUUACAGAAAUUAAAUGCACACGAAGAAAGAGAAAGGAAAAAAUGGAGUCUUCGAAGGCCAUUCACCAUGAAAUCGAAAGGAUCCAGAAUGAUGCCCUUUGAUUUGGACUCCUCCAAGACGUGAAGAGCGAUCUCAUUGGAUCUCAUUUUGUCAAAGCCCUCUAUGAAACUAUGUGCUUUUUCACUGGAGAUUGAUUUGGACAAGCAAAUGCUUUCUAGAUUGAGUAUCACUGGUUUACCUUGUCGUUUGGACGAAUGGUUGGAAGGUGUUGGAUGUCAUUGGAUUGGUGAUUCACUUUGGCAAAUCUAUGACCAACUUGAUGGGGUAAUCAAAGGUCAUCAAGCCUUCGAUAUUAGUUUUAAUAUUUUUUCUUGAUUUGGUUUAUGGUAGUGUUUGAACAUUACACUUUGUAAUCAUCAUUUAUCCAAUUUCAUAGGGUGGAGAAGAACUUGAUUUUCUUUGUUGUUAAACUGGUGGGAAUUUAAUUUUCUUUAUUGUUGACAUAAAAUUGUGAUUAUAUGUUAUUUGUUUAUAUGGUUGACAAGAUUGGAAAUUCCAUUUAUUUGGUUGAUGAAUA